rnacentral:rRNA from 1 species
CCUACGGGAGGCAGCAGUGAGGAAUAUUGGUCAAUGGGCGCGAGCCUGAACCAGCCAAGUCGCGUGAAGGAUGACUGCCCUACGGGUUGUAAACUUCUUUUAUGAAGGAAUAAAGUGAGGCACGUGUGCCUUUUUGUAUGUACUUUAUGAUUAAGGAUCGGCUAACUCCGUGCCAGCAGCCGCGGUAAUACGGAGGAUCCGAGCGUUAUCCGGCUUUAUUGGGUUUAAAGGGAGCGUAGAUGGGUUGUUAAGUCAAUUGUGAAAGUUUGCGGGUCAACCGUAAAAUUGCAAUGGAUACUGGCGGUCUUGAGUGCAGUUGAGGUAGGCGGAAUUCGUGGUGUAGCGGUGAAAUGCUUAGAUAUCACGAAGAACUCCGAUUGCGAAGGCAGCUUACUAGACUGCCACUGACGUUGAUGCACGAAAGUGUGGGUAUCAAACAGGAUUAGAUACCCCAGUAGUC